CGUCGUUCCAAUCACAAGAAAUGUACUGAAGUUCACAGACACCGCAAUCAAGCAAGAUAGGAUGAUGAAACCCUGCAUAUAAUUCAUGAUAAAGAGCAUCAUGUUGCAUGUAUUGUCCAUCGAAAUUUGAGAUAUUUGUAACUGCAUGAAAUAUUCAGAACAUACCACAACUGGAGUGGUGUAUUUGUGGGCAAAGACACUGCGGUUUGUAAGGAGUCGAUCCACAAAUGGGCCGGUUGCAAACAAAAUUGCUGCUUGGUAUGGCGCAGAUUGGUACAGAAGCUGCGUUGAGGAGACCUUCAGUUUCUUCUGUAUUGUGUUUGUGAGCUUCAUUCAAAGUUGUCGGGUUAAGGAUACCAUGUGGCUACGUUUUUGGAAUGUCAACGACGAGUAAAGUAUUAAAUGUAGGAUACAAUUUGGCCAACACAAGUGGUGCCGAUGGCGAGGCCAGAAAGGACGGACCCAAGUAGAUUUAGCUCGAGAU